rnacentral:rRNA from 1 species
GACGAACGCUGGCGGCGUGCUUAACACAUGCAAGUCGAACGGAAAGGCCCUGCUUUUGUGGGGUGCUCGAGUGGCGAACGGGUGAGUAACACGUGAGUAACCUGCCCUUGACUUUGGGAUAACUUCAGGAAACUGGGGCUAAUACCGGAUAGGAGCUCCUGCUGCAUGGUGGGGGUUGGAAAGUUUCGGCGGUUGGGGAUGGACUCGCGGCUUAUCAGCUUGUUGGUGGGGUAGUGGCUUACCAAGGCUUUGAUGGGUAGCCGGCCUGAGAGGGUGACCGGCCACAUUGGGACUGAGAUACGGCCCAGACUCCUACGGGAGGCAGCAGUGGGGAAUAUUGCACAAUGGGCGGAAGCCUGAUGCAGCAACGCCGCGUGCGGGAUGACGGCCUUCGGGUUGUAAACCGCUUUCGCCUGUGACGAAGCGUGAGUGACGGUAAUGGGUAAAGAAGCACCGACUAACUACGUG